rnacentral:rRNA from 1 species
CCUACGGGUGGCAGCAGUGAGGAAUAUUGGUCAAUGGGCGCGAGCCUGAACCAGCCAAGUCGCGUGAGGGAUGACGGCCCUAUGGGUUGUAAACUUCUUUUGUCGGGGAGUAAAGUGCCGCAUGUAUGCGGCUUGGCAUGUACCCGGUGAAUAAGCAUCGGCUAACUCCGUGCCAGCAGCCGCGGUAAUACGGAGGAUGCGAGCGUUAUCCGGAUUUAUUGGGUUUAAAGGGGGCGUAGGCGGACGCUUAAGUCAGCGGUAAAAUUGUGGGGCUCAACCUCGUCGAGCCGUUGAUACUGGGUGCCUUGAGUGGGCGAGAAGUACGCGGAAUGCGUGGUGUAGCGGUGAAAUGCAUAGAUAUCACGCAGAACUCCGAUUGCGAAGGCAGCGUACCGGCGCCCAACUGACGCUGAAGCACGAAGGCGUGGGUAUCGAACAGGAUUAGAUACCCUAGUAGUC